rnacentral:rRNA from 1 species
GAUGAACGCUGGCGGCGUGCCUAAUACAUGCAAGUCGAGCGAACAGACGAGGAGCUUGCUCCUCUGACGUUAGCGGCGGACGGGUGAGUAACACGUGGAUAACCUACCUAUAAGACUGGGAUAACUUCGGGAAACCGGAGCUAAUACCGGAUAAUAUAUUGAACCGCAUGGUUCAAUAGUGAAAGACGGUUUUGCUGUCACUUAUAGAUGGAUCCGCGCCGCAUUAGCUAGUUGGUAAGGUAACGGCUUACCAAGGCAACGAUGCGUAGCCGACCUGAGAGGGGGAUCGGCCAAACUGGAACCGAGACACGGGUCAGACCCCCACGGGGGGGAGCAGUGGGGAAUUUUGGCCAAAGGGGGCAAGCCUGAACGGGCCAACCCGCGUGGGGGAAUAAGGGCUUCGGGUUGUAAAACCCUUUUUUUUGGGAAAAAAAAAAUGUGUAAAAAACCCUGCCGUUCUUACGGUACCCAAAUAAAAAACCCCGGCUAACCUCGUG